GAGUCUGUAACCUGAAGCGUAUGUAACCCGAGGUACCACUGUACUGCUCUCUUGUACACCUCUGAGCAGCAGCAGGACAGGCAUAGAUUUUAGACGGGAUGCUUUUCCGCUACCAAUGCACCAACGUGCUAGGUAAGAGCAUUGCCAAAGAGUGUUGUACUGCACUUAUAUUGGAAAAAGUCAAUGGGCACAAACGGGCACACCUCACUGAGCAUCUGACCAUGAAAAGGGACUGAUGAUCACCCUCUUCCUGCCCAGUUAAGGUCCACAGUGUGGCCUGCCACAUGCAUUGGGCCAAUGACAUGUUGGGGCAGCCCCAUGGUUGUCAUGGCAGCAAUGAAGCCCUGAUAAUAUGGGAGUUCUAAAGCAGGACCGAAAUUAGGCUUUCUGUCAAUCGGGUCAAAGAUCCAGUUUGGUACCUCACCCCCCCAUACAUGUUUGCGUACCCACACAUACAUACAUGCAUGCAAACAAACAAAUAAACAAAUAAAUAAACAAACACACCCACCCCCCAACACAUUUAUCUGUAAAGAGCAUAAAAAGUAGUCAAUAUGUCAUUUUAAUACAAAGGAAUCCUAAGAAGUAUUAUGACUGUAUGACCAAAGGGAAAAUGAGCAAUCCCCUCCAGUAAAAGCAAAUUGUUUGUCAAGAGUAGAACUUCCAUGUGCAUCAAUUGUUUAUUUGAGGUCAGGUUUUGAAUUGGAUUUAUUUGGUCUCAGGAUCAUUAAAAGACAGCAUUUCUAUAAGAUCACCCAAGGCCCUCUGGUUUCCUUUUUUCCUUUUUCUCUUUGAGGCUUUUUGUCACCCACCCCCUUCUUGGUUCUGAGAGAACCUUUUCAAUGACUUUUGAUGUGUAAAUUUACUCCUGAGUAAGCUCCUGCCAACCUAGCAGUUCGAAAGCCCGUCAGAGUGCAAGUAGAUAAAUAGGUACUGCUCCAGCGGGAAGGUAAACGGCGUUUCCGUGCGCUGCUCUGGUUCGCCAGAAGCGGCUUAGUCAUGCUGGCCACAUGACCCGGAAGCUGUACACCGGCUCCCUCGGCCAAUAAAGCGAGAUGAGCGCCGCAACCCCAGAGUUGGCCAUGACUGGACCUAACGGUGAAGGGUCCCUUUACCUUUAAGCUUCAACAAGAUUCCUUUCAAUUUUGUUUUUGUUUGAUUACUCACUUUAAGAAAUGAUAAUUUUAUAGCAAUUUUAGGCUCCAUGUAAGGUGAAAAAAUGCUUUUUACGAGUUUAAAGUAGAAAGUGCCCUUUCAUUACAAUCUCAAUGCAGUAGCAAAUCCACAGGGAGUCUUUUGCUUCAUGGGGGAGAGCCAUGCAACCUCUCCAGAUUUUCCAACUCUCCCUCUCCCUGCAUCAUGUUGUAAAUGAGCCUUUUUCAGCUUCUUAGGGGAAGGAAGAUGCUAGUGGCUGCCUUCACUUUUUCAUCUUUUUCUCCAGCUGAAGCCCUGGGAGGCUGGGAGCCUCAAUGGUGCCCCUCUGGAGGCUUCACCUGGGGCAGAAACUCUGCCUAAACACCACCUCUUGAGGUCAGUUCUGUCAGCUCAGGCAGGGAGACUGCUGGGCAGUGAGGCAGGCAGUAAAUCAGUGAAAUCCCUAACCUGUCCUAAUUGCCCAGUGCCAGGAACACACACACUAGAUCCCCGCAACUGGGUAAAGAACCUGGAGAGAGAGAACCUGGAGGGGUGGGAAGAGAAUUUCUGUAGAUCACAGUAGCUUCCCCUCCCCAACCCUCGGUUCUGGCCUGAUGCUGCACCAAGUAUGCAGAUGAGCACAGCUGGAUGAGACAAACUCCUCCCUGCUCACCCAUCCAGGUCUCAGUGAUACAGGACAAGAUGGUAGAGGAGGGAUAGGCCUGCGGGGAUGCUGGGUGGAGAUUGGUCCCAUCGGUUGCCAGGGGAAGACUGACUUGAAACUGUGAUGUUUCUGAACCGUGUGGAAUUUGGGAUAUCAAGAGGCCUCCGUGGCUAGCAGUGCUUUUAACAGUUUUAGCUGGUACUCCAGCUAUGACCAUUCCUGGCCUGGUAUAACCUGAUGAUAGUGGUCCAUGCACUGGUAACCUCAAGACUUUAUAACUGUGACACACUCUAUGUGGAGUGUCUUUGCAUCUGGUCAGAAGCUGCAAGCAGUGCAGAAUUGAGAAGCCAGAUUGUACACAGGAACAGGCUACUGGCAACAUAGAAUCAUAGAAUUGUGGAGUUGGGUCAGCUGGUUCAACCCCCUGCAAUGCAGGAAUCUUUUACUCUUGUUGAAAGAGUUUCACCGGUUGCCAGUUUGCUACUGGAAUGUUUGUACAUAUUUCAACUAUUUUAUUGUACUGUAGUAGAAUUCUGAUUUUUAUUUUUUAUUUUUGCACACACACCAUAUAUUUCGGUUACAUAGUUUGUUGUUAAGGAUUAUUUGUGUCUUGGUUGUUUGCAUAUCUGUUGUUCUGUCAGCCUAGUUGUUUCCUGCUGUUGGUGGAUCUUCAGUAUAGGAUUGCACUCUACAUUAUAGAGCAAUCACAAACCAUGUCUCCUCAGAAGUUUUCUUCUUGAUUGAAUGCUAUGCAGUCUUAACCAUACCUUCUCUACUGAAUUGAGACUUAAGUGGGGUUGGGCUUGCAGCCUUAGGUACUACAAAAACAUAUUCUGAUUUUCUGAACUCAUGUAGCAAAUCAUACAGAUCUGUAAGUAACAAACUUGUCCAGGUUUAACAAAAAAUGAAUAAAACUAUUGAUCCCCCAAACAGAUAUUGGUAAUAAUAUUGACAGCAAUAUUAUUGCACCGUAUGUUUACCCGAAGAUGCAUUCAUAAUAUUUAUUUUCUUUCUCUUUUAAAUUUUAAUUUGAUUGAACACUUUUCAGAUACUUCAACACUGUAAAACCAGCAUAUAAUUAAAAUAAAGCACACAGAAAAUGAAAUACCGUACCUGCUACUUUGCGUUUUCUAAAACUUACUUCCGAUUCAGUAUCGAAUAUAUUUCUUCCCACAAGGUGGUACUGUGGCACUACUGUUCUAUGAAAUCUUCCCCUUUACGUUACUAAAUUAAUUCAUUUCUGAAACCAACUUCCAGAAAUCUUCAAUAUAAAAGAGUUAAAAAAAUUAAUCACCAAGUUGGCAAGUUGUUUUUUUAAAAAGUAUUGUGUCUUGUUAGUACUUUUGUUUUUACAUUGUGAACAGUAUUUAUACAUUUUAUUACAAGAUAACUCAUUUGCAACAAUAUGUCCUUUUCGUUUUAAAAACUUGAGAGGGAUCUUCAGCCAGAUGAUUAGAAUAUUAUUAUUAUUAUUUAAAUGUGAGAAACUUUUGUUGGAAACCUGGGCUGAAAUGCUAAAACUGCUAGGUGGCAAACGGUCCAGCUGAACUAUCUAUGCCUGUUCUGAUAACAUCCUGAAUCAUAAUUGGUGCAGUGUAUGGCUCCACCCAAUAUCAUAGGUAUUAUUGGCUAUUUCAGUGGCAUAUGAAUUUGUGAGGAAGAUUUAUCUGGGUCUAAAGACUGGUUUUGGAGUAUAUUCAAGGUUUAGUUGGAAAGCCCCCCUCCCCCAUUAUUUUAAGAGCAUUUGUUGUGAUAAUUUCCUUUCUUAUACUUCAUUACAACUGUAGGAAAUAUGAUGAACACGAGUACCUAAGUACAGGUAGCAACCAUUUAGCAUGCAUCCAAUUGACAUGCGACCACCAAUGCAUGUGUUUUCAGCUCCAGAAGGGGUGAAAUGGGUGUGUGGCGGGGGUGGAACAGGUUUAUGACAUGGACAAUGACCUGGAAUGCAACCCCUGUGCAAAUGAGGAGUUGCCUGUAAAUAGAUCCAUUUAGGGUGCACUUUUUUACUCAAGUUAAGCUGGCUGGGGGGCUAGGCAACAUGGUGCCAUCUGGGUGUUGUUGGAAGCCAACUCCCAUCAGCCCCAGAAAGCAUGGUCAGUGGCCAUAGACAAUGGGAGUUCUUGCCUAGCAACUUCUGGAAGGCACCAUGUUCACUACCUCUGGAUAUGUGAAAUGGUGGAAGCCACACUGCUGGCAGAACACAAGAUACACUGCCACUAUGACACAUAUCUCAGCAGAACGGUUUGGAGAUGCCUGUAGAAAACUCUGCUAGUACAGUUGCUGUGCUGGUGAAAAUGCACCAACAAAAUGGCUAAAAUAGAGUGGAUUCCUGGGUGGGAUGGGUGUGUCAUAGGAAAGAAGGACACCUACAUCUUAUCCUGUACUCACUGAAACCAUGACUAUGCUUCUGUCAAUGGUACAUCUUUACACUACCCUCAGAUCCAAUGCAAGGAAAUUCUUCAUUGCCUUUUCCUUUUCCUUUUUACCAAUAAACACGUUUUAAUCAACUAUGCAUUUUUGUAGACAUUAGUUGUCUGGAGAACUGUGCUGCAAAAUAUGGAGAAGUGUGACUUUGAAAGGAUGGCUGUGUUUCAGAAAGUGCAAAUUAGUCAAGUUCGCCUGUAAAUGUGAAUGGUCUUGAAUUUCUCCCCCAUCCCAGAUGAAGGCGAUGGACUACAUGGAACUGGCGGAAAUGACUGGCAGAAUCCGAGACCAGGGAGAAGAGUCCGUGGAAGAAGAUUGGAAGAAAUUUAAAGAUUAUUUACAGAAAUACUGCAAAAUUAAUGAAUGUUAGAAUGAUGUCGGAAUGAAGUUAAGUGGUUUUAGCAGCAAUGUUACAAAGGAGUAUGUAAAAAUGGAUUGUUAACAGGUGAGAAUCUAAAGUUAUAAUAUAUUAAGUUAAAGGAUUAAGAUAAAAACAAAGAGGGAAAGGAUUUGCUGAAUUAACUAACUGAACUGGAAUACAAAAAAGGGAGGUGAGAGGAGGUCAGGGAAACAAGUGAACGAAAGACAAGACAUGGAAAGAUUGAUUUGUUUUUAAAUGUUUUUAUUUUUCUGUAUUUUGUAUUUUUUCUUUUCUUUUCUUUUUUCUUUUCUUUUUCUUAUUUUUGUAACCUUUUCUGAAACUUUAAUAAAUAUCAUUAAAAAAAAAAAAGAAUUUCUCCCCCAUCCCUACUUAUGAGUAGGUGGUAAAAGGUGACUUUCGCUUUUACUUUAAGGGAUGCCUGGGGAUUUGCAGAAAUGGAAUAAUAGCUGCUUGUGUUCCUGAGCUAUGGCAACCCUAGUGUAGGUCAUUUCAGGAUAAGGAAGUUGUUUUAGAUGAAUAAUUAUUUAGAGUAACUAUAACAAUAACAAUAUGCAAGCAAAUAUUUCUGUUCCUCUCUAGGAACCUAAAUGAAAAUAUUGAUGUGUAUGAGAAAACGUAAAAUUCAAACUACAAGAAAUGUCACCUAUAUGCCUCUUGGAGAAGUGUAACAUUUUCUUGCCUUUCCAAUGUUUGUUUUAUCAUAAUUAGUUCAAUAUAUACUAUGUGGAUGUAGAUGUUUUAAAAAUGCAUUUUCCUUAAAGCUCUUAAGAAAUUAUUUUUUAACUUUUCAGUGGCCUCUAAAACUUUUAGGUCUGCUGUUUUUCUGGGUUGCUGGGACUGUUUUAUUCAUCCAAUCAAUGAAUAUGUACCUUCAUCUAUUAAAAUUGGCCUGCACCAAUUAGUGAACUAUUGAUGAAGUGGCCAAUUAAGCAGACUAACAUUUGCAGCCUCAUUUUAGACCACACGCUUAACUUUCUGUCUCCUCCUUUCCCCAUCACCUUGCAUUGACUAUCACUUUUAUUACUCUUCUUUUAAGGGUCUUUCAAGUAUAUUCCUGUUUCUGCUUCUACUAUUCCUAUUUUCUGUGUUUUGUUCUGAAGCUUCUUUUUCACUAUUCCAUAUGCUUAGCAUGUUCCUGCUGUGAGUAGUCCUCUUUUCAAGUUUGUUCCUGCUCAUGGUAUCCUCAUACUCAGAUGACGUGGAGCACUCCAAGCCAAAUGUCGCAAAGGAACAGCCCAUGUUGAGGGACUAUGCUGAGGCAUAUCAAGUGGAUCUGGGACCCCCAGGGGAGAUGGCAACCAAUGCUUCCCCUCAAGAUGCAGAUAUGCCCUGCUCUGACCUAGAGGUGGAGACUGAGCAGCCACCAGAAGCAGAAAAGUGACUGCAUGAGUAAAAGGGUAUUUGUGAAGAAGCCACUCCUCAUGAGUACUCAAAUUCCGUAGUUCACACUGAUAGCCAGCAGCUGUGCUUUGAAGGCUCAGGCUUAAAAGCCUUCAGUUCUUGACGCAGAGUGAUGGAGCAACUAGCUCUCAGAACUGGGUAGCUUCUGACUGCCUGGCUCUUCAGUGGAACAAGAUCCAUGCUUGGACCUUGGACUUCCAUCAGAGUAUGCUCCAAGCAGUGGUUAAUUCUUAACCGUUCUGUUUUUGUGCCACCUGAAUCAGGAUAUUGCCUACCAGUCACCUUCUUCAUUGUCCUUAAUUAAACCUGUCUCUCUAAACAAAUUCUUUCCCUUUGCAUUUCACCAGUCGUAAUCCUUUCAAUUUCCCUUUGCUGCAGCAGCCC
rnacentral:lncRNA from 1 species